GAACUUCUUUUGCAGAGCCGUUGAGGCAAGAAACAUUUCCAGCCCAUGCCUUCUCCUUUUAAAGCUAUCGACAAGGAGGUCAUGCAUAUGGCAAAAAGUGAGUGAGUACCAGUGGCUGUGUGUUGAUUUACCAUCGACAUCAGAGCUAACACCAUCCAACCUGGAAACCCAACUGUGUGCUCCAUCCGUCACCAACCCAGAGCCAGCCCCCACUGCAUCCCCAGUAGCCCUGCAGGCAGCAGCAGGCAGCAUCCACCAGGAGUUAGGUGCUGCUGGAGCAAGCCCAGAGGUGUGCAGACCUUCAAAGACUGUGGGUAUGCCUAACUGUAUUCAUGUUAGGUGCCCUUUGACUUCAGCCACAACAGAGGUGAUCCCAUCGCAAGUGAAGGAAACUUCCACAAGGAUAGCUAUGUUAAAAAAAAUAAAUAAAUUAG
ensembl:lncRNA